rnacentral:rRNA from 1 species
AGGAUGAACGCUGGCGGCGUGCUUAACACAUGCAAGUCGAACGAUGAUCCGGUGCUUGCACCGGGGAUUAGUGGCGAACGGGUGAGUAACACGUGAGUAACCUGCCCUUAACUCUGGGAUAAGCCUGGGAAACUGGGUCUAAUACCGGAUAUGACUCCUCAUCGCAUGGUGGGGGGUGAAAGCUUUAUUGUGGUUUUGGAUGGACUCGCGGCCUAUCAGCUUGUUGGUGAGGUAAUGGCUCACCAAGGCGACGACGGGUAGCCGGCCUGAGAGGGUGACCGGCCACACUGGGACUGAGACACGGCCCAGACUCCUACGGGAGGCAGCAGUGGGGAAUAUUGCGCAAUGGGCGAAAGCCUGACGCAGCGACGCCGCGUGAGGGACGAAGGCCUUCGGGUUGUAAACCUCUUUCAGCAGGGACGAAGCGAGAGUGACGGUACCUGCAGAAGAAGCACCGGCCAACUACGUGCCAGCAGCCGC